rnacentral:rRNA from 1 species
UACGAAGGGGGCUAGCGUUGCUCGGAAUCACUGGGCGUAAAGCGCACGUAGGCGGUUUGCUAAGUCAGGGGUGAAAUCCUGGAGCUCAACUCCAGAACUGCCUUUGAUACUGGCGGACUUGAGUCCGGGAGAGGUGAGUGGAACUGCGAGUGUAGAGGUGAAAUUCGUAGAUAUUCGGAGGAACACCAGUGGCGAAGGCGGCUCACUGGACCGGUACUGACGCUGAUGCGCGAAAGCGUGGGGAGCAAACGGG